AACUUUUAGCAACGGAUCUCUUGGCUCGCAUCGAUGAAGAACGCAGCGAAAUGCGAUAAGUAAUGUGAAUUGCAGAAUUCAGUGAAUCAUCGAAUCUUUGAACGCAUCUUGCGCUCCUUGGUAUUCCGAGGAGCAUGCCUGUUUGAGUGUCAUUCGACUUGUCAACUGCAUCAAUUGUGAUGUGGCUUGGAUGUGGGGGUUUUUGCAGGCUCUCUUUCAUGAGGUCGGCUCCCCUGAAAUGUAUUAGUGGUAUCUGAGCAGAACUACUACCGUCAGGUGUGAUAAAUUAUCUAUGCCUUUGGGUAUGCUGCAUCAACAGAUUGUGCUGCUCAUAAUGAAACAAUUGUUUGACGAAUUUGACCUCAAAUCAGGUAGGACUACCCGCUGAACUUAAGCAUA
rnacentral:misc_RNA from 1 species